AGUUUGAUUAUGGCUCAGAAUGAACGCUGGCGGCGUGCUUAACACAUGCAAGUCGGACGAGAAAGGCUGAUUUCGGUUGGCCGAGUAAAGUGGCGCACGGGUGAGUAACGCGUAGGCAACCUACCCUUGUAUUGGGGAUAACCCUGCGAAAGUGGGGCUAAUACCGGAUGAGACCCUAUUCUGGAGGGGAUAGGGUGAAAGUCGGCCGCUCGGAGAAGCUGACGUACGAGGAUGGGCCUGCGUCCUAUCAGCUGGUUGGUGGGGUAGCGGCCUACCAAGGCGACGACGGGUAGCUGGUCUGAGAGGAUGAUCAGCCACACUGGCACUGGAACACGGGCCAGACUCCUACGGGAGGCAGCAGUGAGGAAUUUUGCGCAAUGGCCGCAAGGCUGACGCAGCAACGCCGCGUGGGUGAUGAAGGCCUUCGGGUCGUAAAGCCCUGUCAGGUGGGAAGAAAGGCCUGGAGAGGAAAGGUUUCAGGUUUGACGGUACCACCAGAGGAAGCACCGGCUAACUCCGUGCCAGCAGCCGCGGUAAUACGGAGGGUGCGAGCGUUAUUCGGAAUUACUGGGCGUAAAGCGCGUGUAGGCGGGGGGACAAGUCUGAUGUGAAAGCCCUGGGCUUAACCUGGGAAGCGCAUUGGAAACUGUUUUUCUUGAGUACUGGAGGGGAAGGGGGAAUUCCCGGUGUAGAGGUGAAAUUCGUAGAGAUCGGGAGGAAUACCAGUGGCGUAGGCGCCCUUCUGGACGGUAACUGACGCUGAGACGCGAAAGCGUGGGGAGCAAACAGGAUUAGAUACCCUGGUAGUCCACGCUGUAAACGAUGAUCACUAGGUGUAGCGGGUACUCAUUCCUGCUGUGCCGCAGCUAACGCGUUAAGUGAUCCGCCUGGGGAUUACGGUCGCAAGACUAAAACUCAAAGGAAUUGACGGGGGCCCGCACAANCGGUGGANUAUGUGGUUUAAUUCGACGCNNCGCGAANAACCUUACCUGGGCUUGNNNUCCCCGGCUAGCCUUANAAANA
rnacentral:rRNA from 1 species